rnacentral:rRNA from 1 species
UACGUAGGCAGCGAGCGUUGUUCGGAAUUACUGGGCGUAAAGAGUGUGUAGGCGGUGCUCUAAGUUCGGUGUGAAAUCUCCUGGCUUAACUGGGAGGGUGCGCCGGAAACUGGAGUGCUUGAGCGUGGGAGAGGAGAGCGGAAUUCCUGGUGUAGCGGUGAAAUGCGUAGAUAUCAGGAGGAACACCUGUGGUGUAGACGGCUUUCUGGACCAUUGCUGACGCUGAGACACGAAAGCGUGGGUAGCAAACAGG